rfam:Eucalyptus grandis cultivar BRASTZ1 unplaced genomic scaffold scaffold_8, whole genome shotgun sequence.
UCCGAUGAUGGCAUAUAUCUUUGAGACCUGAUUGUCUUGUGACUUGAUGACAAUUACAAGCAUUUUUGGCUGAGGAU